AGAGUGGAGAGUUCAUAGGGAUAUUGAAUUGAUUCAGUACACACUCUAAAUUCUGAUUUUUAUUUUUUUUUGCCACCAAGUAAUAAAUUUGUUAAAUUAUUAUUAUAAAUUAAAAAUAAUUGGUUUGCUAUUUUAUAGCUGUGUAGUUAAUUUGGCUUGUUAUUUUUUAGCUGUAUGGGUUAACUUUUUUAAAAGAAAUUAAUUUUUUUAAUUAUUA
rnacentral:lncRNA from 1 species